CCCAGUGAUGAUAGCGAAGGGGAAACACCCGUUCCCAUUCCGAACACGGAAGUUAAGCCCUUCAGUGCCGAUGGUACUAUCCGCGAAGGCGGAUGGGAGAGUAGGGAGUUGCUGGGA
rnacentral:rRNA from 3 species